GGUUCGAGAUUUCGAGGGUGAAAGGUUACGGCCGUCGCUUAACCUGGCGAUGGAGGGAGUUCUUUUUCGGAUCGGCCGAGCAGUCCGUUAAGUUGUGUGUAAGGGAAAAGCGUUGUCGACGCCUGUCAAGUUCGAGCAUUUUGUUAAAGGAAAAGACGACUCUUUUUUAAAAAUUGAAAACAUACGCACAAAGUGAAGGGGUAAAAUCUAACCUGCUGGUUCAGCGAUUGGAGGAAAGUGACGGAAGGUUGUUUAAGCACUCCACGAAGCAAGCCAUUAAUGAACACAUUGAACUCAUCCCCAUAUAUGCUCCACUGCAGAGGAAACCUGGAAGUGAGGCAAUCCAUCACAACGGACCCUAGAGUUUAAAAAGCCAGGCGGGAAAACACACCGAUGCUUCAGAGACUGCACUGAGGAUGUUACCAAGCACAGUAAUGAAAUGUCUACAGAACAACAAACCAGUUCGGCGAGCCAACCAACCUCAAUAUCCACAACCUGAGCCACAGAUCUACUCCAAGACCUUAAGGGUGUUUGUAUAAUUUCCAGUUGGAAAGUAUUAUUGAACUUUUGCAACAACCUGCGUUAUCACCAGGCUGUUUGACCUGAUAGAUAAAAAAACAAGUUUCCUCCUUUGUUAAUGAGUUACACUUCAAAAGAUUAAAUCAACUUUAAAGGCCUUCUCUAAUUCAGUGAUCAUGGAAUGAAAUGGAAUAAAAACUGAAAAUAAUGAAAAUA